UCCACAUUUAGAGAGGUUUUGUAUCACUGGCCUCACUCUGGGCUUUUAUUUGCCCUGGAUGGGCUCAGAUGGACCAUGUGUAACUUGCAGACUGCUUUCUGCUGCUGCGGAAAAUUGGGCCAGGUAAAUACAACUGAGAAAAAAACCCGGGAAAGAGUUUUCCCUCUGGGAAACAGGGCAAAGCAGUCUGAAGAAACAGCCUCUUGUUAAUGAGGCACAAAAGAUAACAAAGCUUCAUUGUGCAAAACCCUCUGCUGUUCUGUACUUGGGGAUUUUCGCCCAUCUCCUCCCUUUCCUCUCAUCACUAACAGCCCUGUAAAAAUGCAAAGUACUUCACAAAGGCAGAAAGGAGAUGUUGCCUUCGAGAUAACACAACAGAUUUGCAACUUCGGGCAAAGAGGCAUUCGCGGCUCCGAAACUCCGCUAAUGAGAGCAACCUUGCGCUUCGCGGGAAUGUUAAUCAAUUAGACACACAGAGUAUUAAUGAUGUUCUUUUGCCUAAUUAGAUUAGCAAAACACGAGUACAGCCACUUGGAUUUUCCCCUCCAGCUCUCCAGCUUGUGCUCCCAGGGAGCACCACCCAUCUGGCUGCGGGAUGCUCCGAAGGGAGGCGAUUCCCCAGGAGCGGGGAGCAGCUGGGUCCCGCCGGUGCCCACAGCCCCCUGCGCCCACCCUGGGGACGGGCAGGAGAGCGACGUGGGAAGAUUUCUAGUUCUCCCUACAGCUUUUAAAUUUCCGAGGCUGAAGGCAGAGGUUUAGCAGCUCUCAGUCCCACAGAGCUGGACCAUGUUGUCCCAGUGGAGCUCAGGGAGGAUCAGGUGCUCUCCAGCCUUGACAGGAUUCAGAAGGAAUCUAAAACCCAACUGGGCAUUCCCAGGAGCCAUCCCACGUGGAGCUACCGGGAUCUCCAGGAGAGCAAAAUAACAGAGCUAUGGAAAAAUGAGAGGAGCCUUAUCUCCAAGAGGAGCAUCAUAAGAUUUAGAGCAAGACAAGCAGAUAAGGUACCAGAAACGCAACUCCACUGACCUACAAAGUGUGAGAUCCCUGAAAAACACUGAUAAACUCAGCCUUCAUCAAUUUUCCUCCUGAUUAUCUGAUUUAUGCAGAUAGAGGCAACACACUGCUGAGGCUGAGGGCCCAGCUCUCAGCACAGAGGAAAUGAAAAGACACUGCAAGGUCUUAAUGAAGGAAUAUUCUUAGAGUGGAUCUAAAUGAAGUGUUCAAAGGAUUGCACAAAUGAUCUUCCCAGAUUGCUGGUGGGGAACUGGGGAUUAUCACAUUUAAAAAUUAAAAAAAAAAAAAAAAAAAAA